rnacentral:rRNA from 1 species
AACGGCCAUAUCAUGCUGAAUAUACCGGUUCUCGCUAGAUCACCGAAGUCAAGUAUCAUUGGGCGCGGUCAGUAUUUGGGAAGGUGACCACCUGGGAACAUCGCGCCGUUGG